rfam:Cavia porcellus supercont2_7 genomic scaffold, whole genome shotgun sequence.
GCCGGGCGUGGUGGCCCGCGCCUGCAGUCCCAGCUACUCAGGAGGCUGAGGUGGGAGGAUCGCUUGAGUCCAGGAGUUCUGGGCUGCAGUGCGCUAUGCUGAUCAAGUGUCCGCACUAAGUUCGGCAUCAAUAUGGUGACCGUUCAGGAGCGGGGGACCACCAGGUUGCCUAAGGAGGGGUGAACCGGCCUAGGUCGGAAAAUACUUAACACAGUAAGGCUCAAAGAGGGGCUACAGUGCAGGAGAAAUUUUUUUUUUACACUUUCAUGGAAAUUACAAUGAAUUCAAUGUGUUAGAACAAUGAGAAAUCCAUUU